rnacentral:rRNA from 1 species
GUGUCAGCAGCCGCGCGGUAAUACGAAGGGACCUAGCGUAGUUCGGAAUUACUGGGCUUAAAGAGUUCGUAGGUGGUUGAAAAAGUUGGUGGUGAAAUCCCAGAGCUUAACUCUGGAACUGCCAUCAAAACUUUUCAGCUAGAGUAUGAUAGAGGAAAGCAGAAUUUCUAGUGUAGAGGUGAAAUUCGUAGAUAUUAGAAAGAAUACCAAUUGCGAAGGCAGCUUUCUGGAUCAUUACUGACACUGAGGAACGAAAGCAUGGGUAGCGAAGAGGAUUAGAUACCCUCGUAGUCCAUGCCGUAAACGAUGUGUGUUAGACGUUGGAAAUUUAUUUUCAGUGUCGCAGCGAAAGCGAUAAACACACCGCCUGGGGAGUACGACCGCAAGGUUAAAACUCAAAUGAAUUGACGGGGACCCGCACAAGUAGUGGAGCAUGUGGUUUAAUUCGAAGAUACGCGCAGAACCUUACCAACACUUGACAUGUUCGUCGCGACUUUAAGAGAUUAAAGUUUUCGGUUCGGCCGGACGAAACACAGGUGCUGCAUGGCUGUCGUCAGCUCGUGUCGUGAGAUGUUGGGUUAAGUCCCGCAACGAGCGCAACCCUCACUUUUAGUUGCCAUCAUUAAGUUGGGCACUCUGAAAGAACUGCCAGUGAUAAGCUGGAGGAAGGUGGGGAUGACGUCAAGUCCUCAUGGCCCUUACGUGUUGGGCUACACACGUGCUACAAUGGUAUCUACAACAGGAAGCAAGACUGCGAAGUUAAGCAAAUCCUUAAAAGAUACCUCAGUUCGGAUUGCACUCUGCAACUCGAGUGCAUGAAGCUGGAAUUACUAGUAAUCGUGGAUCAGCGUGUCACGGUGAAUGCGUUCCCGGGUCUUGCACACACCGCCCGUCA